rnacentral:rRNA from 1 species
UAGGGAAUCUUCCACAAUGGACGCAAGUCUGAUGGAGCAACGCCGCGUGAGUGAAGAAGGUUUUCGGAUCGUAAAGCUCUGUUGUUGGUGAAGAAGGAUAGAGGUAGUAACUGGCCUUUAUUUGACGGUAAUCAACCAGAAAGUCACGGCUAACUACGUGCCAGCAGCCGCGGUAAUACGUAGGUGGCAAGCGUUGUCCGGAUUUAUUGGGCGUAGAGCGAGCGCAGGCGGAAGAAUAAGUCUGAUGUGAAAGCCCUCGGCUUAACCGAGGAACUGCAUCGGAAACUGUUUUUCUUGAGUGCAGAAGAGGAGAGUGGAAUUCCAUGUGUAGCGGUGGAAUGCGUAGAUAUAUGGAAGAACACCAGUGGCGAAGGCGACUCUCUGGUCUGCAACUGACGCUGAGGCUCGAAAGCAUGGGUAGCGAACAGG